rnacentral:misc_RNA from 1 species
GUCUCCUAUGAGAAGUUUAGACAAGUUGCAGGUCUCUGUUCCUUUUGAAAAAUUGAUUUGUGGAUUGAGUUUCCAAGCUCCAUUUGGCCAGUUAAGUAUUUCUCUUUUGGUUCUAGAGAUGGUUUCCUUGAAUGUCAUAGGUCACAUUCAGCUUUCUUGGUGGUGUUGAUUAUUGAUUGGUUGAAGCCUCCCUUAUGACUUAGUCCGGGAUUUU